rnacentral:rRNA from 1 species
AUGAAGAUGGUGCUUAAGGUGCCGAUGGUCUGCAAGAAGUGCAAGUCUUGCGUCCUUACGAUUGUGUCCAAGGUCAAAGGGGUCAAGUCGAUGGCAUACGACGAGGAGAAGAGCACGCUGACGGUGGUGGGGGAUGUGGACGUGGUGGUGGUCGUCGACGCGCUGCGCAAGGGGAAGCACCCGGCGACGGUGGUGACGGUGGGCGACGAGAAGAAGGAGGCGGAGGAGAAGAAGAAGAAGGAGGAAGAGGAGAAGAAGAAGAAGGAGGCCGAGGAGAAGAAGAAAAAGGAAUGCAUGCAGAAGCACUGCCUCAAGGCUUGCUCGCCGCCACUCUACUGCCCCAAGGCUUGCUCGCCGCCACGCCACUGCCCGCCGCCACCCCACUGCCCGCCGCAAUCCUACUGCUACGUCGACGACUCCGGCCCCUGCACCAUCAUGUGA